CCUACGGGAGGCAGCAGUGGGGAAUAUUGCACAAUGGGCGCAAGCCUGAUGCAGCCAUGCCGCGUGUGUGAAGAAGGCCUUCGGGUUGUAAAGCACUUUCAGCGGGGAGGAAGGCGUUAAGGUUAAUAACCUUGUCGAUUGACGUUACCCGCAGAAGAAGCACCGGCUAACUCCGUGCCAGCAGCCGCGGUGAAUACGGAGGGUGCAAGCGUUAAUCGGAAUUACUGGGCGUAAAGCGCACGCAGGCGGUCUGUCAAGUCGGAUGUGAAGUCCCCGGGCUCAACCUGGGAACUGCAUUCGAAACUGGCAGGCUAGAGUCUUGUAGAGGGGGGUAGAAUUCCAGGUGUAGCGGUGAAAUGCGUAGAGACCUGGAGGAAUACCGGUGGCGAAGGCGGCCCCCUGGACAAAGACUGACGCUCAGGUGCGAAAGCGUGGGGAGCAAACAGGAUUAGAUACCCUAGUAGUC
rnacentral:rRNA from 1 species